rnacentral:rRNA from 1 species
UUCUCUACGGAAUAGCCCUGGGAAAACUGGGAGUAAUACCGUAUACGCCCUAUUGGGGAAAGAUUUAUCGGAGAAGGAUCAGCCCGCGUUGGAUUAGGUAGUUGGUGGGGUAAUGGCCUACCAAGCCGACGAUCCAUAGCUGGUUUGAGAGGAUGAUCAGCCACACUGGGACUGAGACACGGCCCAGACUCCUACGGGAGGCAGCAGUGGGGAAUCUUAGACAAUGGGGGCAACCCUGAUCUAGCCAUGCCGCGUGAGUGAUGAAGGCCUUAGGGUUGUAAAGCUCUUUCAGCUGGGAAGAUAAUGACGGUACCAGCAGAAGAAGCCCCGGCUAACUCCGUGCCAGCAGCCGCGGUAAUACGGAGGGGGCUAGCGUUGUUCGGAAUUACUGGGCGUAAAGCGCACGUAGGCGGACCGGAAAGUCAGAGGUGAAAUCCCAGGGCUCAACCUUGGAACU